UAUAAACGAAUUAACGAAAAAUGGAUACAAAAGGAUUAACUAUCUCUCUUUUCUCAAUUUAAAAUCGUUGUUGAUUUACUGGCACAAAGUAUUGAGAAAGAAAGCAGUGGGUGUUAUCAUAAUAAUUCUAUUAGCUUUUGCCAGCAAAUCACUAAGAGAAAUUCAACUCCAAGCAAGCUUCUGUCUCAAUUCCAAAUCCGAAGUAUCUCCCUAUGAAGUGGGAUCGACCGAUAUGCGAGAAAAAAAUUAAGCUAACAAUGGAGUCUUAUACUCAUGAUCGGUGUACAAUUAAGAUUUAUCAUUCAGUGGUCAGAAAGAUUCGAGUAACCGCCUCUCUAAACAGUUUCCAAGAAUAUAGAAUCUAUAGUGGAAUUGCUGAAAUAUUGGUGGGCAUUUAUGAGCAAGUCAAUUGGAAGCGAAAAUGGCUUUGAUAGUAGUAGCUUCUCAAGGUAUUCCGAUCAUCUGGACAGAAAGCACGCAAGAGAAAAUAGCACAACAAUGUAAGGAGAAAGAGGGAGGUCAAGGAGGACGACGAUCUGAGAACCAGAGUUGUAGCUUGACAAAAGUCCACGGAGCUACAAAAUGAUGACGACGUGUGCCCUAACCAGGUUUUUGUGCGGUAGAUGAGAGAACGAGGUGCGUUUACACUGCGAAACCAACGCAUCAUUUCGCCUUAAUAAAAUAUAUCCCCAAAGUAUUAUGUUUAUGAUUACAUACUCCUUAUGAUAAAGAUUAAUUCUACCGCCAACCAGGAGUGUAAUUAUUUUCCUUUUGAAACAUCCACUCACAUUAGUGGUUUAAAAUGUAUGUACCAAUCAAGAUGUGUCUUUUCCAGAUCCAUUGUUUUACAAAAGUCCAUGGAUCGAGCUAAAAAAUGAUGAUGACGUGUUCCCUAACCGGAUUAUGAGAGAAUAAUAUGCGGGUACAUUGUGAAACCAAUGCAUCGUU